AGUUAAGUGACUAAGCGUACAAGGUGGAUGCCUUGGCAAUCAGAGGCGAGGAAGGACGUGCUAAUCUGCGAAAAGCUUGGAUGAGUCGAUAAGAGGCGUUUAAUCCAAGAUGUCCGAAUGGGGAAACCCAGUAGAUGAAGAAUCUACUAUUACUUACUGAAUCCAUAGGUAAGUGAGGCAAACCGGGAGAACUGAAACAUCUAAGUACCCCGAGGAAA
rnacentral:rRNA from 1 species